GCAGGACCUGAACCCGCGGCGGGACAUCUCCUCCUGGCUGGCCCGGUGGUUCCCUAGAACCCCAGCCAGGUCCGUGGUGGCCCUGAAGACCCCCAUCAAGGUGGAGCUGGUGGCAGGGAAAACCUACAGGUGGUGUGUGUGUGGCCGCAGCAAGAAGCAGCCCUUCUGUGACGGCUCCCACUUCUUCCAACGCACUGGCCUAUCUCCACUCAAGUUCAAGGCCCAAGAGACCCGCAUGGUGGCACUCUGUACCUGCAAGGCCACUCAGAGGCCCCCGUACUGCGAUGGCACCCACAGGAGUGAGCGCGUGCAGAAGGCAGAAGUGGGCUCCCCACUCUGAGGGGGCUGCUGCUGUCCAGCCACAGGUGGCCUUGGCUCCAGGCCUCUGACAGGCACCCCCUUCUGUGGGAAAGGAAACAGGUGCUGAGCCCAAGAGAUUCUGGUACCCACUGCUGGCUCAUGAAGGAAGAAUUAUUCCUUAUAACCUAAAAGUCUCCAGUCUGGGGCAGGCGGGAGUGGGCCCUGGUUCAAUGUUUGCUGAUGGGGAAGACGGCAAAAACAAGCCUGCCCAACCAGACUGGUAGUCCUGCAGUCACUGCUAUGAGGCCCACGUGCUGCCUCCUGCUCCAGAUUUUAACCUCUCUGUGGGCUGGGGGCACCUGACCAGCCACAGGAGAGGGCAGUUCAGAUUCAUUCUGUAUGGGGUCCCCAAGCCAGGCUAAACCCAGAGAUGAGAGGCACCCUUCCCUUCUUCCCUCCACCCCAAAGAACUACAUGCUCCAGAAAGUAUGCAGCAUUUAUUACAAAGCCAAGAGAUACAGAUGUCCCAGGGCAAAGGAGGGUACAGUCACAGGACCUCAGACACAGGACAAGGUGCAAACACAGACAAGCCCAUCAGGGGGCUCCCAACCCCACACACCUAGGCUAUGAUGGAAUCUCGAGUCUCGAUUCCUGACUCCUCUCAGAUCUAUGCACACUUGAGGAAAUCUCGGUGGGCAGCGACCUGCCAGGGUCUGUCCCUAAGGAGGUGGUCCGCUGACCUCUCAAGGGGUGGGGGUGGGGUCAGAGCUUACAGGUUUCUGUCUUCUUGUGCUUUUAGAUGCAGUUGCUCUGUCCUGACCAGGUGACCGGGCCUCAGCUGGGGGUGGAGGGGCAAUUGGAAGGCUGUUUGCCUCUGGCAAAGUCUGGGAUCUGUGCUUGUGUGAGGUUAACCCACCCCCACUUCCACUCUAGGCCCCAGGUGAGACUCCACCACCAGUCCUGCUAGUGAGGGUUCCCCGGUGAGGGUAAGGUCGGUGGGGGUGCAGCGCUUCACAAUGCUAAAGCCUUAGCCCUCCUCCAAGGGCUGAGACCUCUCAGGGCCUGAAUCUUCUUUUCCACAAGAUAAAUGAUGCAAAGGCCACACACACAGGAAAAAAAAAAAAAAGGCAGAACUAUCUAUUCUUUGCACAAAGUUUCCACUGCAAGAGGAGGAGGUGAUGCAGGUGCCACCUCCACCCUGCACUUGCUCCUCAGAACCAGGGAAAAACUGCAUUUGUAAAAGGCACUGUUCUUAGCAAUUUCUGGACAUUCAACAAUGCGGGGGGCGGCCACUGGUCAGAGGCAGGACAGCAGCCAAGAUGGGGAGAGAAACGGGGAGAGAAAGAAACAAUUCUGACUCCUAUAUGCAGCCAGUUGGAAUCAUGCCUAAAGCUUUGGGUCUGAAGGGGCCCCCAACACACCACCUGCCUUGGGAAACAGCGAGGACGGUGCAGAGCUUUAUUGAGACUCCAGUGGCCCAUCCAGUUCAUCUCCAGGCACCCCCAAAAACAGCAAAUUACACAAGACCCCCCCCCCAAAAAUGAACACCAUUUUCCACACAUACACACACACAUAAAGUUUGUUUCCUGUGGCAUUUAAAUUAAUCUGGUUGGUCCAUAGAAAAUAAGUAUGUAUAUUUGGUUUUUCCUAUGUACAUAUAUAUAUAGAUUUAUUUAUAAAACCCGCCCCCCACCCCCAAGGUGGGAAGAGCUGGGGAAAGUAGAAGAGGUGGAAAAAAGGGCCCAGAAAAAGUGGAAGGAGUGGAGAGGCUUGGCUGGAAGAAGGGAGAGGGUCCCUGGCCUCAAGUUAAGGGGGGCACGGGAGCGCCGUUGACAGUCAUCUUGCGCCCCCUGCUGGUGGAGGAUGGUGUCUGCAGGCAGUUCGAGCUACCCCCGUUGGCAGCUGUGGUGGCCCCACUGGCUGUCGAAGGGGGAGUGGGGGAGGUAGGGUGGGUGGCUGGAGGCCCAUGGGAACUGGGAGAGCCAUGGGAUGGGGUGGCUGGGCUGGGCAGGGAGGAAGAGGUGGCUGGCAGGGUGGCAGGGCUGGGAGCCUUGUCGCUGACUGACUCACACUCGGACGCCCCGCUGGUGUUGGUGCCCUCGGAGGGGGUGGGCACCGUGGCUAGGGUGAGCCGCUUGCAGGCUGGCUGGACACGGUACUUGAGGGGGAGAGGCCCGUUCUGCCGGGAGAGUGGGGAGGAGAGACACAGGGAAGGGGAAGAUAUCAGGAGACAGAGUCCAACUAAAGGGCCACCAGCUCCACCCCACAGUGUCCAAACUCGAAAAAAGGGAUGGGAUGGGGCCUUGGAGAGGAGAGAGACAAGGAUACAGGGUGCAUGAAGACCCAGAGAGGGAAAAGGUCUAAGAGCAGAGACUCCGUCAGAGAGGAGACGGGAGAGAGGGAGGCAAACACACGUUAGCUGCCAGCACCUAUUUCUGCCCCCAAAUCGGGGGACACCAUCUGCC
rnacentral:lncRNA from 1 species